CUGGGUUGCUGGGGGAACCUUGAUCGUGGAAGGAGAGAAGGCUUCAUCCCAAGUCUCCUUUGGUCAGAGGGUAAUCCCGUUCUCCUGCCCCUCUCCACAGCUCUGUCUCUGAGGGGAUGGAGGGUAGCUGUCUGGGGACAGUGCAGGUGAGGUGAGCCAGGACAGGCUCCAUCCAGGACAUGAUGGUCACAUGCAGAGGGACCAGGAAACAGUCAUCUAAAGACGUCCCCCGAGGAGUGCCGAGGCCAGCAAAGCAGGUGUCACGACACCCAUUUCACAGACCAGAAGACCAGAGCCCAAAGAUGGUCCAUCAGCUAUAGAGCUGGGACUAGAACUGUCUUUCUGCCCCCAGCCCGGACUGUGUCCCCACCCUGCCCCCCAUGCAGCUGCCUGUCCCUGCCCACGGGGUUGAAGAGGGAAGGAGAGAGCAUCAGAGCAUCACCUACCAACCCCUCAGCAUCCACAGAUUUGCAGGAUUUCCUCUGCAGCAGGAGGGAUGAGGGCUGGGCAAGAGGAAGGACUGUCCCUCUCCCUCCAGAGCGAGUCGGCGUAGGAGGAGAAGUCAGAGUUGGCGUCCUUCUCGGCCAGAUAGACCAGGAAGGAGGCAAAGAUGAGCACCAGGAAUCCGAUGUACCAGGCGGUGAUCAGCUCCUGCGGUGACAGCAAAGAUGAAAACGUCAGGAGGGCCGAGCCAGAGGGGUAUAAGGAAGCGCCUAAUACUGUGCGUACCUGGGAGAGGGGGGCAGGUGGGAGUUUCCCAGAAUGACCCCGAGAGGUGUUCUGGAGGGGGGAUAAAGGGGCCCCACCGCUUCGAGUUCCCUGGGGGCGGCUGCCCAUCUUUCUUUCCCAGCUCCUCCUUCCAGGGAGACCCUGCCCCGCCUUCCCGACCUCAGGGUACGCCCCCGGCCCCGCCCUUGACCCCCCCCCCCCCCCGCCAGGUUCCAGGUUCCGUCUUCAGUCCCCAGGCCCACCGCCCCUCAACACCCCACACACCCCAACAUCCAGUCCCCCCCACCCGCCCCAGCUCCCCACUUUGCUGUGCACACAGACUCACCUAACCCAGAAGCUUCCGACUGAGCCCCUCAACCCCUUACCCCUCAAGCCCCUCCUCCUGGCCUGCACCUGCCCUCCCCCUGCAGACUGGCCCUUGCCGGGCCUCAGAGAUCGGCCCCUGUGGCCUGGCCCCCGCCGGGCCCACAGUCUCCCCAUCCCUGGGGCUGGACUCGGGCCCUGCCCCACUCCCCACCUCCGGCCCCGGGAGACGUCCCGCCGGCGCACCUUGCUGUGCGCGUAGACCACGGAGCCCAGCAGCUUCCAGGUGCCGCCGCGGCGGUCCAUGCGCACCAUGCGGAGGAUCUGCAGGAAGCGCAUGCUGCGCAGCGCAGACGUGGCGAAGAUGUUGCCCUGCGUGCCCGCGGCGAUGACGGCCACCGAGGCCACGAACACGAUGAAGUCUGCAGGGGCGGGACAGGCGAGCUCACCAAGCCACCGUGCAUCAGGGCCCGCUGAGCGAGGGCCCAGGUCACACAGCACCGGCCCAGCCCAAAGUCCUUGGGUUAGGGGUACCAGGAUUUCCUCAGACCACCUCUCCUGGACGUUCUUACACCUGGCUGGACCGGAGGAGAAUUCCAGAAGGCACGUGGUACCUUCCACAGACUGAAAGCCCCAGUCUGUCUUCCAUUUCCUGUCCACCAGCUGUCUGGUUUUUUCUGAGCUUCACUCUGCCCUCCCCCUCCCAGCUAUCCCAGACUCAGUAACCCUGACUGGGUGACCUAAGGGGUGGCUAUCUGUUAGCUGUCCACUUCCAAGGUGCUUCUGUUUAGAGAGAGAGAGAGAGAAAAAAAAAAAUCACACCAGAGGUUGAGUUAGCAGUUUUGGUCCUGAGAAGGAGUAGGGCUUUUUCAACCUCUUCUCUGAGCCCAACAUCAGCCCUGGCUUAGCGGCAGGAGGUCCCUCAACACUUGCUCUAAAGCAGAUGAUGAAGUCCAGAGAGGGGCAGCCAUCAACUCCGGGAACACAGCAUAGCAAGCCACUCUCUGAGCCACAGUAGGAGAAGCCUCUCUGUCCCUCUACCCUGAACCCCAAGGUGCUACCUUACACAGCCUCGCUCAGACCCGGACUCUGGCACUCACCAAGAUGAGGAGACACUCGUUGGCAAGUUCCUGGUGCUCCUGAAUUGUGGACAGCACGGACAGCACCAGGCAGCUGAAGACCAGCAAAAAUCUGCAAUAGCAGCAUGGAGAGGGUUAGAAUGCUGCACGGACAGGACAGCCGAGGAGCCCCUGGCAGGGGGCUGCGGGGUUGCAGGAGGAUUUGGGAAGAAUUAUCCGGAAGGCAGAAUCAGAAUCAGGGUUCCCUGGAGUUGUGGUUCUGUGCUGGACAAAAAAAGGGAGAAGCCCCAAGGUCUGGGCUACUGAGCUCACAGACACGUUACAGGCCUCUCAGUUCCCUUCAGUGCGGGCUGCAGCCUAGGGAGGUGGUCAUUCCUCUGGGGGGCGGCAGGUCUGUCUGGGCUGGUGGUGGAAACACACCAGCUCAAACUCCCACAGUCAGGAAGCGCCUCCAGGCUCAGCCAUUCACAAGUGGUGCCCUCGGUCUUAAGACUGUCUUAAGAGAAGUAUCUCAGAGGUCAGCUGGGGGCCAGGCACGGUCAGCAGCUGAGGGAGGGGUCUCUGCUCCCUCUGAACUCCAAGGUUGGCAGGAGCAUCGCUCCAUUUGCAGAAUGGGGACAAUUGCCUCUGCCUUCGUGGGCUCUUAGGGAAUUAAUAAUGAGACAACUAUGAAAGGAAAGGGGACUAGGGAGGACAGGGAAGGAGGGAAGGAUUCAGAGUGGGAUAGGGAGGGGAAUCAGGCCUCAUGGAGCCAUGCCAUGGAAGCCUGGAACUCCCCUGAGGGCUGUGGGAAGCCCAGAGAGAGACGUUUAGAAAAGGGAAGAACUUUAUAUGCCAGCUCAGCCAACACUUCCCACAACCCCAACCACACACAUGAGGAAACUGAGGCCCAGACAGGGAAAGGCAUUCACCCAAGG